AAAAUAUCUCUUCUGCUAGUCUACAUAAUAUACAUCUUGAUAUACUCAAGACUUUGCUCAAGAUUUACUUCAUGCAUGAAGCCAUCCCUUAUUGGAACAAUUUGCCUACUUGAAUCAAAUUAUAUUGAGACCAUAAUUGACCAUGGGUUGCUGAAACCACAGAAAGCAAAACUGUGGAUGGAGCAAGUGGGGAGCUACCAGACAACGUUCUUAAAAUGACAGAGGGAAGGAAGCCAGCUGAGAAAUAGCCAUGGCUAUAGAAGGAAAACAGAGAGAUCCCUGUGGUGGUGGUAGCGUUUUACAUCUUGACUGUGUUAACUUCAUUGUGUGGCUGUGGUAUUGUAAUCUCUGUUCUGCGAGAUGCUGCCAUUAAGGGACAUUGGUAAAACGGAC
rnacentral:lncRNA from 1 species